rnacentral:rRNA from 1 species
GAUGAACGCUGGCGGCGUGCCUAAUACAUGCAAGUCGAGCGAACAGAUGAGGAGCUUGCUCCUCUGACGUUAGCGGCGGACGGGUGAGUAACACGUGGAUAACCUACCUAUAAGACUGGGAUAACUUCGGGAAACCGGAGCUAAUACCGGAUAAUAUAUUGAACCGCAUGGUUCAAUAGUGAAAGACGGUUUUGCUGUCACUUAUAGAUGGAUCCGCGCCUCAUUAGCUAGUUGGUAAGGUAACGGCUUACCAAGGCGACGAUGCGUAGCCGACCUGAGAGGGGGAUCGGCAAAACUGGAACGGGGACACGGUCCAGACUCCUACGGGAGGCAGCAGUAGGGAAUCUUCCGCAAGGGGCGAAAGCCUGACGGAGCAACGCCGCGUGAGUGAUGAAGUUCUUCGGAUCGUAAAACUCUGUUAUUAGGGAAGAACAAAUGUGGAAGUAACUAUGCACGUCUUGACGGUACCUAAUCAGAAAGCCACGGCUAACUACGUG